UAGCCGCCGCGGUAAUACGUAGGCGGCAAGCGUUGUCCGGAAUUAUUGGGCGUAAAGGGCUCGCAGGCGGUUUCUUAAGUCUGAUGUGAAAGCCCCCGGCUCAACCGGGGAGGGUCAUUGGAAACUGGGAAACUUGAGUGCAGAAGAGGAGAGUGGAAUUCCACGUGUAGCGGUGAAAUGCGUAGAGAUGUGGAGGAACACCAGUGGCGAAGGCGACUCUCUGGUCUGAAACUGACGCUGUGGAGCGAAAGCGUGGGGAGCGAACAGGAUUAGAGACCCCCGUAGUCCCUGUCUCUUAUAC
rnacentral:rRNA from 1 species